rnacentral:lncRNA from 1 species
GGCUCGGCUGUGCAUCUGUUAUCCAGUAAGGAACGAGUUAGUCUCAGGUCUGCAGGAAGGCAGAGAAGGCGACUGGGUGGGUAACUGUCACAUUUAUGACUGGAAACAUCAACAGGCUAUGAGGAUUCCAAGAAUAUGAAAAGAACACAGUGGUUGCUAAAGAAAUUGUCUGUCAUCGCACAGCAGAGAAGACAAGGGAAGGAGUCAUUCCAAUGUCAAGUAACAUGUACUCAUUUACCACUCAAGCUUCGAUGGAUGGAAUCAGUGGAAACCCUGAACUGUCUGACACUCCAGGGGUUUCUGCUGUGCAUCGUUUUGCCUCUUUGCUGCCCACAACAGCCCACUGGAAAAUGGCAGUAAGCUUUGUAGAUGAAAUUAAAAAUGCCAUUCCUUGUGAGAAGCUCUGACAAAAGGGUGGAGGACAAAAGAGAUUUAGAUGAAAGGCAGGUUAGGGCAAAAUUGGUAGGUUUCUAUUAUCCACACUCUUUUACUCUGUAACUAUUGAGAGGUCACUGUAAUGUAGUCCACCUAAUAGAAAAGAGUAACAGGGGUAGUUUUACCCCAUUUUUCUCUUGGAAAAUGUGUUGUGGGAAUUUUCCUUGAGGUAUUUCUGGACAUUUUGGCAUCAAGGAGUUAUAGAAAGUAGAGAAAUGUAAAACGAGUUUUGCAUAACACUCCGACCUUAUGUCUAUGAAGUGUUAAUCGUUUGAAAACUUAAUGUACUCAAAACUCAGCUUGGUCAC